AGUAGUUUGAUCAUGGCUCAGGACAACGCUGGCGGCAUGCCUAACACAUGCAAGUCGAACGAAGCCUUCGGGCUUAGUGGCGCACGGGUGCGUAACGCGUGGGAAUCUGCCCUUGGGUUCGGAAUAACAGUUAGAAAUGACUGCUAAUACCGAAUGAUGUCUUCGGACCAAAGAUUUAUCGCCCAAGGAUGAGCCCGCGUCGGAUUAGCUAGUUGGUGAGGUAAAGGCUCACCAAGGCGACGAUCCGUAGCUGGUCUGAGAGGAUGAUCAGCCACACUGGGACUGAGACACGGCCCAGACUCCUACGGGAGGCAGCAGUGGGGAAUAUUGGACAAUGGGCGAAAGCCUGAUCCAGCAAUGCCGCGUGAGUGAUGAAGGCCUUAGGGUUGUAAAGCUCUUUACCCGGGAUGAUAAUGACAGUACCGGGAGAAUAAGCCCCGGCUAACUCCGUG
rnacentral:rRNA from 1 species